GACUUAGUGGUCCAUUGGUAAGGCGUUUGCCGCGGAGCCAGAGGGUCCUGGGUUCGAUCCCCCAUGGGGUCA
rnacentral:tRNA from 1 species